rnacentral:tRNA from 1 species
AGGGCAGUAGCUCAAUUGGUAGAGUAGCGGUCUCCAAAACCGUUGGUUGGGGGUUCGAUUCCCUCCGCCCCUGCCA